rnacentral:rRNA from 1 species
GACGAACGCUGGCGGCGUGCCUAACACAUGCAAGUCGAACGAUGAUGCCCAGCUUGCUGGGUGGAUUAGUGGCGAACGGGUGAGUAACACGUGAGUAACCUGCCCCUGACUCUGGGAUAAGCGUUGGAAACGACGUCUAAUACUGGAUAUGACUGCCGGCCGCAUGGUCUGGUGGUGGAAGGAUUUUUUGGUUGGGGAUGGACUCGCGGCCUAUCAGCUUGUUGGUGAGGUAAUGGCUCACCAAGGCGACGACGGGUAGCCGGCCUGAGAGGGUGACCGGCCACACUGGGACUGAGACACGGCCCAGACUCCUACGGGAGGCAGCAGUGGGGAAUAUUGCACAAUGGGCGAAAGCCUGAUGCAGCAGCGCCGCGUGAGGGAUGACGGCCUUCGGGUUGUAAACCUCUUUUAGUAGGGAAGAAGCGAAAGUGACGGUACCUGCAGAAAAAGCACCGGCUAACUACGUGCCAGCCGCCGCCGUAA